UACGUAGGUGGCAAGCGUUGUCCGGAUUUACUGGGCGUAAAGAGCGCGCAGGCGGUUGAUUAAGUCGAAUGUGAAAGCCCCCGGCUCAACUGGGGAGGGUCAUUCGAUACUGAUCGACUUGAAGGCAGGAGAGGGUAGUGGAAUUCCCGGUGUAGUGGUGAAAUGCGUAGAUAUCGGGAGGAACACCAGUGGCGAAGGCGACUACCUGGCCUGUUCUUGACGCUGAGGCACGAAGGCCAGGGGAGCAAACGGG
rnacentral:rRNA from 1 species